rnacentral:rRNA from 1 species
GACGAACGCUGGCGGCGUGCUUAACACAUGCAAGUCGAACGGAAAGGCCCUGCUUUUGUGGGGUGCUCGAUUGGCGAACGGGUGAGUAACACGUGAGUAACCUGCCCUUGACUUUGGGAUAACUUCAGGAAACUGGGGCUAAUACCGGAUAGGAGCUCCUGCUGCAUGGUGGGGGUUGGAAAGUUUCGGCGGUUGGGGAUGGACUCGCGGCUUAUCAGCUUGUUGGUGGGGUAGUGGCUUACCAAGGCUUUGACGGGUAGCCGGCCUGAGAGGGUGACCGGCCACAUUGGGACUGAGAUACGGCCCAGACUCCUACGGGAGGCAGCAGUGGGGAAUAUUGCACAAUGGGCGGAAGCCUGAUGCAGCAACGCCGCGUGCGGGAUGACGGCUUUCGGGUUGUAAACCGCUUUCGCCUGUGACGAAGCGUGAGUGACGGUAAUGGGUAAAGAAGCACCGGCUAACUACGUG